rnacentral:rRNA from 1 species
UACGUAGGGUGCAAGCGUUGUCCGGAAUUAUUGGGCGUAAAGAGCUCGUAGGCGGCUCGUUGCGUCGGCUGUGAAAACCCGCAGCUCAACUGUGGGCUUGCAGCUGAUACGGGCGGGCUUGGAUUCGGUAGGGGAGACUGGAAUUCCUGGUGUAGCGGUGAAAUGCGCAGAUAUCAGGAGGAACACCGAUGGCGAAGGCAGGUCUCUGGGCAUUAACUGACGCUGAGGAGCGAAAGCAUGGGGAGCGAACAGG